rnacentral:misc_RNA from 1 species
CUGGCACCUUUGUAAAAGAAGAAGAAAGAAGAGGGAAAACAUAGAAGAAGAGAGAAAAUGAAUUGAGAAGCUUGAUUAUUCCCUCAAGCUUCGUGCGGAAAUACAUUAAUCACUGCACAAUUCUAGCCCUAAUUGUAGUAUAUAAUCACUGCAUAAUCUCUAUAAAUAUCUCAACACCUUGAAAAGAAAAAGAAAAACAAUGAUCUAUCCAAAAAACAGAAACUAAAAAUUGUUAACAUCCAUUCCGUCACCAGAAAAAUAAAAGGCAAAAAAUUCAACACAAAGGUAGAGAGAGAGACUUGCACUUAUAUUGUUGAAUCCUUGUUUUCUUUGAUGUGAUUAUAAGUGUGAUUGUCUGAGGAGCUAGGUGCUUUCCAUGAGAAUAAUUAUGUGCAAAAUCGAUGAAUGUAAAUUCUUAAAAGCAAAUCACAUUAAUCCAUGCCAUUCUUUCUACUGGCUACAACUACCUCAACAAAAU